rnacentral:lncRNA from 1 species
GAGAAGGAGCUGGUCCUCUACGGCGAUUGCAUUCUUGGCUUUUCUUCUGAGAAGACGCAAACGAAGGACACAAUUAGUGUCAGCAAUGAUGGGGUGUGUUUAUUCUUUUCAUGGUGUGGACACUCCAAUUCUGGGACCAGCUGAGAGCUGUUCAAGAUGCCACCCGAUGGUUUCAUUUUUUUUGUGUGUGUGUUUUUUUAGUCUUUGUUUUAGAAGAACAAGAGCUAAAAUUGUUAGAGUCAUGACAUUCUCGAUAUAUGACCUGUCACGAGGGAAUAAAAGGAUUGUGAGUUGUCAUCUCCCAAUAGCAAGAGGUUAUGGAGGAGAGCUCAUCUGCAGAGGAGGAAAAGAAAAAGGCAGAAGCAUCCCUCACUUCAAAUGAGAUGUGAAAAAUGUGGGAAACAGUGCAAAAUUUUGUAGAAAACACUACCCAAAUAAAGCUGAAGCAGUGCAAGCAAUCAAUCUGUUGAACAAUAGUGAAAUGUCACAUUUCUGUCAAACCCUCAAAAGGAGGCAAGAAGAAGUGUCAUUGGACAGGUUCCUUGUUAAAGUUGCGCAAAAAUAAAAUGAUUCCAUUG